UUCGGGAACGUGUCAGCUUGAUUCGCUGUCGUCGCAGCUACGGCUGGGGAUCGGGGGAUGAACGAACGAGCGCGCUCGCGCUCGCUUGGCUGUGCGCGCAUGCAGGUCGGCACGAGCGGCGGGCCGAGGCGGGCCCCGACGGAGGCGAAGCUCAAGGUGGCGAUCAACGGGUUCGGCCGCAUCGGGCGCAACUUCCUGCGCUGCUGGCACGGGCGCGACGACUCGCCGCUCGACGUCAUCGCCAUCAACGACACCGGGGGCGUCAAGCAGGCGUCGCACCUGCUCAAGUACGACUCCACGCUCGGCAUCUUCGACGCCGAGGUGAGGCCCGAGGGCGACAACGCCAUCUCCGUCGACGGCAAGGUCAUCAAGGUCGUGUCGGACCGCAACCCCAGCAACCUGCCCUGGGGGGAGCUCGGCGUCGACCUCGUCAUCGAGGGGACGGGGGUCUUCGUCGACCGCGAG
rnacentral:lncRNA from 1 species